GGACUCAGACACCAGCAGCAGUACGGAGGUCAUCAACUGAGCUCAUCCUAUCAGAGGAGGGCUUUUGCACAUGCUCGCUACACUUACUACAACAUUCCCUGCUGGGAUGAUCCGGCCUGGCAGGGUCCUGUAUCCUCUGAUGAAGGACAAGACAAUGACCAACACUGUAAACUCUGCAAAAAGACAUUCAGAACUUCUGUCUCUGACUUUACUUCAUCUACAAGGGAUCAGCUACUGAUCAGCCAAGGGAACUGUUGUCCAGUGCACUGUGUGUUUGGGCGAGCAUCAGUCAGCAUGGAAAUCACAUUUAAACUGGGAAAAAGUGCACAUAUCAGCUUUACCAUUUCAAACUGUUUGUUAUAAAUAAGAUACUUUGUUUACUUGAACAGUAAUAUAUUGUGUGUUUUUUUUUUAUCACCAGUGGAUUUAAUUGUUGAGAUGAAGCGACACUGACUUUAAUCUGAAGGGAAAUCAGGGAAAAAUAAGGGAAUAUCAGGUUAAAUCAGGGGGCGGAGCUUGUGGUUGUUUCACUGUGUAGGCCAUACUGAGAUUAUGUUAAACUGAGAAAUCUGCUCUGAGAAUUUAUGAAGGUUUUAAUGUACAGUUUAUUGUUUCCAUGUGUUUUUUUUAAUGAUUUUCUUAUUCUUCUGUUAAUUAAACUCUUUCAUUAAAUGAACGUGAAUGAAAAAAAAU
rnacentral:lncRNA from 1 species